rnacentral:misc_RNA from 1 species
UGUGUAACAAACGGCUCGUCUGAAAUGCCUGAGUGUACCCUGCUUUGCGGCGUAUUCGGUGUGAUACAUCUUCACCGGAGUCUCGACUUUCGGGUCGGCGUCUGUACGAGUUUGGCUCUAUGCUUUCCAACCGUCCCUGACAAGGACAAUAACUCUGACAAUUUGACCUCAAAUCGGGUGGGACUACCCGCUGAACUUAA